UACGUAGGGUGCGAGCGUUGUCCGGAAUUAUUGGGCGUAAAGAGCUCGUAGGCGGCCUGUCGCGUCGGAUGUGAAAGCCCGGGGCUUAACCCCCGGGUCUGCAUUCGAUACGGGCAGACUAGAGUGAUGUAGGGGAGACUGGAAUUCCUGGUGUAGCGGUGAAAUGCGCAGAUAUCAGGAGGAACACCGAUGGCGAAGGCAGGUCUCUGGGCAUUAACUGACGCUGAGGAGCGAAAGCAUGGGGAGCGAACAGG
rnacentral:rRNA from 1 species